CCCUUGUGGAGGAGGACGCCGAAGGUGGGGCUAAUGACUGGGGUGAAGUCGUAACAAGGUAGCCGUACCGGAAGGUGCGGCUGGAUCACCUCCUAACAGGGAGACAACAAAAUGUAAAUAUUAAUUUUGUCACCUUAGGUCGAUCGGUAUCUCAGAUUCUUAAUUUUUAAGAAUUUCAGUUUCUAAGUUUUUUCUAGGUCACACCCAUCACUUUUUCCUGGGCCAUUAGCUCAGGUGGUUAGAGCGCACCCCUGAUAAGGGUGAGGUCCCUGGUUCAAGUCCAGGAUGGCCCAUAUCUCUAUGUUGGGGGUAUAGCUCAGUUGGUAGAGCGCCUGCUUUGCAAGCAGGAUGUCAGCGGUUCGAGUCCGCUUACCUCCACUGAAUACCAUCUCUUACAUAUUGUAAAUGAGGGAAAUUGUUUUGAGUCGUGUCCUAAUUUGCUCUGAGCGAAUCUAGCUUCCUAUUUUAUUUAAUUAAUAAGAUGCUGGACUCAUUGAAUUUUUAUUCAUUGUUUUCAGAGAACCUUGACAACUGCAUAGAUUAUUUUUGAAGACAAUAAGCAUCUUUAAUGAUGCGGAUUUAUUAUUUGUGCGAAUGCAUUAAAUAACAAUUCUAUUAAGCUGAUGCUUCAGUUAUUGAAGUAAUUGGUCAAGCUACAAAGGGCUCACGGAGGAU
rnacentral:misc_RNA from 1 species